rnacentral:misc_RNA from 1 species
UCCGGCUUCCCGCCGGCGGUCUCCCAUGAGUCCCCGGCAUCACCCGCUGGCAACAUGGGACAGGGGUUGCGCUCGUUGCGCCACUUAAGGCAACACCUCACGGCACGAGCUGACGACAGCCAUGCAGCACCUGUGCGGGCUCCCGAAGGAGCCCCGUGUUUCCACGGGUUUACCCCGCAUGUCAAGGCCAGGUAAGGUUCUUCGCGUUGCGUCGAAUUAAACCACAUGCUCCACCGCUUGUGCGGGCCCCCGUCAAUUCAUUUGAGUUUUAGCCUUGCGGCCGUACUCCCCAGGCGGGGAACUUAAUGCGUUAGCUGCGGCACCGACGACGUGGAAUGUCGCCAACACCUAGUUCCCAACGUUUACGGCGUGGACUAC